AUAGUGUUGUGCAAUUCACUGUACACACACAAAUCUCUAAGUGGCUGCACAUAGAAACCUGAUUUCGCAUUAACCGCUGUUUUCACACCUUCCACGGUGGGAAGCUGGACCGGUGUACUUUAUGAAUAACAAUAGGACCAUCAGCUACCAAGAUGUUGACGUGAAAAGGCCGUGAAACUGCUGUGAGCUAAUCCGCUCCCAAGCUGAUCAACUUUCCACCGUGAAAACGGGCUUACAUUGCCUUGACAAAUUUUUUUAGCGUUUAAGAACUAAAGUAGAGAUGACGUUUCAUCGUGGAGUCGUCCAACGCCUCCCCCUGUGGAUAUCGGCUGUGUUCGUGUUUCUCUCUCUUAACGGAGGUAUGGCCAUCGACCUCCAUGGCAAACCAACCGAACAAAGUAGUACCUUUCGUAAUGAAGGGGAUCCGGAAAGAGCAGUAGAUGGUGAUCGCGGCACUAUUCAACACACAAAGUGCGGUGGACAUCAGUGGUGGAAGGUGGACCUCCAGGAGAUCUAUUGCCUGACGAAAAUCACUAUAGUUAACAGGAGAAACGG